ACGCUCGACACCUACGGGACAGCAGUGAGGAAUAUUGGUCAAUGGGCGCUAGCCUGAACCAGCCAAGUAGCGUGAAGGAUGAAGGCUCUAUGGGUCGUAAACUUCUUUUAUAUAAGAAUAAAGUGCAGUAUGUAUACUGUUUUGUAUGUAUUAUAUGAAUAAGGAUCGGCUAACUCCGUGCAAGCAGCCGCGGUAAUCUGAGCGGGCUGGCAAGGC
rnacentral:rRNA from 1 species